ensembl:snRNA U6 U6 spliceosomal RNA
AUGCUUGCUUCAGCAGCUCACAUACUAAUACUGGAAUAAUACAGAGAAAAUUAACAUGGCUCCUGCAUAAGAAUGACACACAAAUUCAUGAGGUGGUUCAUAUUUUG